rnacentral:snRNA from 1 species
UCGCCGGAAAAGUCUUCAAGA